UACGGAGGAUGCAAGCGUUAUCCGGAAUGAUUGGGCGUAAAGCGUCCGCAGGUGGCAAUUGUAAGUCUGCUGUUAAAGAGUCUAGGCUCAACUAGAUAAAAGCAAGUGGAAACUACAUAGCUAGAGUACGUUCGGGGCAGAGGGAAUUCCUGGUGUAGCGGUGAAAUGCGUAGAGAUCAGGAAGAACACCAGUGGCGAAGGCGCUCUGCUAGGCCGUAACUGACACUGAGGGAACGAAAGGCUAAGGGGAGCGAAUGGG
rnacentral:rRNA from 1 species